GGUAGUGGUUAAUUUUGAUUAUCAAAAUUUUGGAAUCAGUUAAAAUUUUUAAGAUCGGCUUAACUCGUGCCAGCCGCCGCGGUUAUACGAAGGAUUUAAAUGAAAUAGAUUGGUGGAAUGAAGUAAAUAUUUGUUUUAAAUAAAUUUUUUAAAUAAAAAAUUAAGGGUAAAAUUUUUAUUUUUUAAAUGAAAAGUUAUAACAGAAUGAAUUAUCUUUGAAAAUUAAGAUUUAAACUAGGAUUAGAUACCCUAUUAUUCUUUAUUUUAUUAAUUGCCAGGGUAGUAGAAUUUUUAAAACCUAAAGAAUUUGGCGGUACCUUACUCUUACUAGAGGAACCUGCUCUUGGAUCGAUAAUCCACGUUUUAAUGUACAUGUUUUUGUUUUCAGUUUGUAUACCGCCGUUGUCAGAUUAUUUUUAAAAAAUAUAAUCUAAUUAAUAGUUAAUUGGGACUUCAGGUCAAGGUGCAGCUUAUAAACAUGGGAGUAGUGGGUUACAAUAAUAUAGAAUUAUACGGAUUAAUUAGUGUAAUACAAAUUAUGAAGGUGGAUUUAGUAGUAAAUUAAGAAUAAAAUUCUUAUUUGAAAUGAGCUCUGAGGUGUGUACACAUCGCCCGUCGCUCUCUCCCUUAAGGAGAGAUAAGUCGUAACAUAGUAGAUGUACUGGAAAGUGUCUCUAGAUAGA
rnacentral:rRNA from 1 species